rnacentral:rRNA from 1 species
CCUACGGGUGGCAGCAGUGGGGAAUAUUGGACAAUGGGGGGAACCCUGAUCCAGCCAUGCCGCGUGUGUGAAGAAGGCCCUCGGGUUGUAAAGCACUUUCAGUGAGGAAGAACGCCUGGUGGUUAAUACCCAUCAGGAAAGACAUCACUCACAGAAGAAGCACCGGCUAACUUCGUGCCAGCAGCCGCGGUAAUACGGAGGGUGCGAGCGUUAAUCGGAAUUACUGGGCGUAAAGCGCGCGUAGGUGGCUUGAUAAGCCGGUUGUGAAAGCCCCGGGCUCAACCUGGGAACGGCAUCCGGAACUGUCAAGCUAGAGUGCAGGAGAGGAAGGUAGAAUUCCCGGUGUAGCGGUGAAAUGCGUAGAGAUCGGGAGGAAUACCAGUGGCGAAGGCGGCCUUCUGGACUGACACUGACACUGAGGUGCGAAAGCGUGGGUAGCAAACAGGAUUAGAUACCCCGGUAGUC